GAUGAACGCUGGCGGCGUGCCUAAUACAUGCAAGUCGAGCGAACGGACGAGAAGCUUGCUUCUCUGAUGUUAGCGGCGGACGGGUGAGUAACACGUGGGUAACCUACCUAUAAGACUGGGAUAACUUCGGGAAACCGUAGCUAAUACCGGAUAAUAUUUUGAACCGCAUGGUUCAAAAGUGAAAGACGGUCUUGCUGUCACUUAUAGAUGGAUCCGCGCUGCAUUAGCUAGUUGGUAAGGUAACGGCUUACCAAGGCAACGAUGCAUAGCCGACCUGAGAGGGUGAUCGGCCACACUGGAACUGAGACACGGUCCAGACUCCUACGGGAGGCAGCAGUAGGGAAUCUUCCGCAAUGGGCGAAAGCCUGACGGAGCAACGCCGCGUGAGUGAUGAAGGUCUUCGGAUCGUAAAACUCUGUUAUUAGGGAAGAACAUAUGUGUAAGUAACUGUGCACAUCUUGACGGUACCUAAUCAGAAAGCCACGGCUAACUACGU
rnacentral:rRNA from 1 species